AACGAACGCUGGCGGCAGGCCUAACACAUGCAAGUCGAGCGAGCAUUUCGGUGCUAGCGGCGGACGGGUGAGUAACGCGUGGGAACGUGUCCUUUUCUGCGGAAUAGUCCUGGGAAACUGGGGGUAAUACCGCAUACGCCCUUUUGGGGAAAGAUUUAUCGGAGAAGGAUCGGCCCGCGUUGGAUUAGGUAGUUGGUGGGGUAAUGGCCCACCAAGCCGACGAUCCAUAGCUGGUUUGAGAGGAUGAUCAGCCACACUGGGACUGAGACACGGCCCAGACUCCUACGGGAGGCAGCAGUGGGGAAUCUUAGACAAUGGGGGCAACCCUGAUCUAGCCAUGCCGCGUGAGUGAUGAAGGCCUUAGGGUUGUAAAGCUCUUUCAGCUGGGAAGAUAAUGACGGUACCAGCAGAAGAAGCCCCGGCUAACUCCGUG
rnacentral:rRNA from 1 species